rnacentral:RNase_MRP_RNA from 16 species
CACCCAUGCCUUGGUGAAAGUCACCAGGCAUCAAAUGUACAGAAAAGAAU